rnacentral:misc_RNA from 1 species
UGGCUUACCUCCUCAUUUAUGCGUCAUGACUUGUAUCGUCUUGAGCGUAUUGUGGGUUUCCUGUGUUGCAUACCUGAUUGAUGGUAUCGUUUGGUUGAUCGAAGUCCCUUUUCGUCUUGUGUUGCCUUUGCGAAGCAUGAUGAACCUUGAAGCAGUCUCUAUGUUCCACAAUGUUGAUGCUAGUGUUUUGAUGUUGUGGCCCAUUGAGUUUGCUUGGUCUUGUGGAUACAGAACAUGAUUUGGGCAUAGGGUUUUGACUCUUGUUUUGUCCUUUACCAGUGUUCUUUAUAACGACGGUUCAUGUACGCCUAGGCUCGUACCUGCGUGAUGUUCUUGUCGAAGAGGAAUGCUACCUGGUUGAUCCU